UACGAAGGGGGCUAGCGCUGUUCGGAAUUACUGGGCGUAAAGCGCGUGUAGGCGGGCCGUUAAGCAGGGGGUGAAAGACCAGAGCUCAACUCUGGAAUUGCCUUCGAUACUGGCGGCCUGGAGCAUGAUAGAGGCGAGUGGAAUUGCGAGUGUAGAGGUGUAAUUCGUAGAUAUUCGCAGGAACACCAGUGGCGAAGGCGACUCGCUGGAUCAUUGCUGACGCUGAGACGAGAAAGCGUGGGGAGCAAACAGG
rnacentral:rRNA from 1 species